UUGACAUGUGGGCUGGGGUCAUCCCGCCAAACAAAUCGUAGCAAACUCUGGGUUGCGUAGGAAAAAACAGUUUGUCAAAAGUUUUCUGUUUUUGUUGGAGCUGGAAGUUUUUUCGGUGAUCGGAGUAUUUUCAUGGACCUACCAGUUAAAAUUAGAAAUUCCGGCCGGUGACUUCAGGGAAGCAAUUAACUGAAAUGAUAAAUAUCAUUGGAUAAAACUUGCCUCUGGAUGCCAGGACAAGGCCUCACAGACAAAUUCAGUGGCAUCCUGAAGUAAUUUGUCCUCAAUUUCCAUCAGGAUUCGACAAUUUUUACAGAAGAAAACAGAAAACAGACAUAAGAAAACAGAAGACAACUAAACAAAUGAAUAGAAUCGUCCUGAAUGGUUUAUCUGGAACUUGAUCUGGAUUAUCUUGUUAAAUUCAAAGAAAAAUAAAUAUUGUCUACUGUU